rnacentral:rRNA from 1 species
ACAGCAGUCGCCACGGUAAUACAGAGGGUGCGAGCGUUAAUCGGAUUUACUGGGCGUAAAGCGUGCGUAGGCGGCUUCUUAAGUCGGAUGUGAAAUCCCUGAGCUUAACUUAGGAAUUGCAUUCGAUACUGGGAAGCUAGAGUAUGGGAGAGGAUGGUAGAAUUCCAGGUGUAGCGGUGAAAUGCGUAGAGAUCUGGAGGAAUACCGAUGGCGAAGGCAGCCAUCUGGCCUAAUACUGACGCUGGGGUACGAAAGCAUGGGGAGCAAACAGGAUUAGAUACCCCCGUAGUCCCUGUCUCUUAUAC